rnacentral:tRNA from 1 species
GGUGUUGUAGCUCAGUGGUAGAGUGCUUGCCUCGCAUGUGUAAUACACUGGGUUUGAUCCUCAACACCA